UUCAUCAACAUGACCUUCAUCAUCAUCUUCAUCUGGACUCUCUGCUUUAUACUACAAGGGUGUAAAGCUCAGAUCACAGUCACUCAAACUCCAGUGAAACCUGUCACACCAGGAGAAAAUGUCGUGAUGAGCUGUAAGUUUAGUUCUGCUCCAGCCUGCAGCACACCCUGUGUGUCCUGGUACUUACAGAAACCUGGAGAAGCUCCUAAACUCCUGAUUUAUUGGACCAAAAGCCUCCAGUCAGGAACUCCAUCUAGAUUCAGUGGCAGUGGAUCUGGGAUUGAUUUCACUCUGACCAUCAGUGGAGUCCAGACUGAAGAUGCUGGACAUUAUUACUGUCAGGGUAGACACAGUGGUCCAGUGUUCACACAGUGA